GUGGAAAUUUGGGAAUGUGCGGUCAAGAUUUCUCCCGGGUUGAGUUGAGCUCGGGCAGGACGCGAGACUGACUGCAUCUGUGUACGAACUGUAAGAUCAGCUGGGCUAAGAGAGAACAUAUUGAGAAGGCUCAGAGGUGAAGAGCAGUCGGCGGACAGAAAGUGGACACCGCAACCGUGAUUAGCCGGGGAAGGACGCGGCUCUUGUGGUGAUUGGAGGGGGG
rnacentral:lncRNA from 1 species